rnacentral:rRNA from 1 species
GGUCAAGCGGGUGAAGGCACACGGCGAAUGCCUUGGCAUCAAGGGCCGAAGAAGGGCGCAGUACAGCUGCGAUAAGCCUCGGUGAGCUGCUAAGCAAGCUUAGCCGGGGAUACCCGAAUGGGGCAACCCGCUCAGGUAAAACCUGAGCACCCCCAGCUGAACACAUAGGCUGGGAGGAGGUAAGCAGGGGAAGUGAAACAUCUCAGUACCCUGAGGAAAAGAAAUUAUUCCCUGAGUAGUGGCGAACGAAAGGGGAAGAGCCUAAACUCUAUAAGCUAAGUGGUUCUAGGGCCUAAGCGUAUAGAGAGUUGUAAGGCAGAUAGGACCAAGCCUGGAGUAGGUCGAGGAGUUAGCAACCGAACCCUAGUCGAAGGACUCUGGAAAGGGCCAUCGUAGAGGGUGAUAAUCCCGUAGAUGAAAGGGGGAGGCUCCUUAUCUGUCCUUGAGUACCACGGGACACGAGGAAUCUUGUGGGAAUCUACCCUGACCACAGGGUAAGGCUAAAUACCCUUGAUGACCGAUAGUGAACUAGUACCGUGAGGGAAAGGUGAAAAGUACCCCGGGAGGGGAGUGAAAUAGACCUGAAACCGUGUGCUGUCAAGCAGUCAGAGCCUCAAGUAAUUGGGGUGAUGGCGUGCCUAUUGAAGAAUGAGCCGGCGAGUUAAUGUAGGUAGCUUGGUUAAGCCAGUGGACUGGCGGAGCCGUAGCGAAAGCGAGUCCGAAUAGGGCGUUGUCCUGAGCUUGUCGAAGGACAGGUUGCCUGUAUUAGACCCGAAGCCGGGUGAGCUAUCCAUGGCCAGGGUGAAGCCUCAUUAAAAUGGGGUGGAGGCCCGAACGGGUGGUCGGUGCAAAGACCUCCGAUGAGCUGUGGAUAGAGGCGAAAUGCCAACCGAACCCGGAAAUAGCUGGUUCUCCCCGAAAUGCAUUUAGGUGCAGCCUCCGGGUAGCAGCUGUGGAGGUAGGGCGCUGGAUGGGCUAGGGGGCGAGUAGCCUACCAAACUCAACCAAACCACUAAUGCCACAGCUUAUCACCGGGGAGUGAGGCGGCGGGGGAUAACCUUCAUCGCCAAACAGGGAAACAACCCAAACCAUCAGCUAAGGUCCCCAAGAGCAGGCUAAGUGGGCAAGGAUGUGGGUCUGCACAGACAGCCAGGAUGUUGGCUCAGAAGCAGCCACCAUUUAAAGAGUGCGUAACAGCUCACUGGUCGAGUGGAGCCGCGCCAACAACUCAAGGGGCUAAGCCUGCCACCGAAGCUAUGGGUUCUCCCGAUUCGUCGGGGGAGCGGUAGGGGAGCGUUCCGUUGCCAGUGAAGUCGAGGCGUGAGCCUCGGUGGAGGUUACGGAAGUGCGAAUGCCGGCACGAGUAGCGUUAACUCUGGUGAGAAACCGGGGCACCGAAAACCUAAGGUUUCCUACGCAAGGUUAAUCCGCGUAGGGUUAGUCGGCCCUAAGCCGAGGCCGAAAG